CUCCAAACCGCGGGUGGGACCUCCAUCCGAGCAAACGCUGCGCAUUAGCUGCUCGCUCUGCCGCCAGCGACUCCAUUACAGAUGCGCUCCGCAUGAUCUCGGAGUCUGCCGCGGUCUACCGUGGACCCGCUUGCUUCGACGCUGUCAGCGGCAAGCUCGUGGAAAAGGCGGGAGUCCAGUUCCGUUUCACGAGCGGAAGGUGUUUGCUCUCGGGCCUCACUGACUCGUUGCUUCUUGUCAGGGACGUGUUGAAGAGUUGCAGAGAUUUGACUUCAGUUGUGUCUGGUCUUGCCUUCUUGUUUGUUGACUGUAGUGCAUUAGGCAUAAACGAAAGCUGGUGCUACUAAAUGCAAUCUUACUUUGGCCUCCACUUCCCUUUUAGUCUCAUAGCAUAAUACAACUCUCUGGAGGAAGUUACAUAAGUCAUGUCUUGCUUUUAGUUCCAAUUGAUCUCCAACUUAUGAAAACACUCUCAUUCUUGUUCCACUUGCUCCAGAUAAGAGCCAAAAGUUGGUCCUUGAUAUUGGUCAUAUAUCCUAUAAUGGAGAAAUGGUCAUUCAACGAUGUCAAAUUACCCAGGCCAUAGCAAUUCUUGUGAUUAGAAAUGGUGACAAUGUAUAUAAAAAUGCUAUGAAUGUCAGGAGUACAGUGAAAGGUUGCAUUCAAUCUGGCUUUGCAGGGAUAAUUCCUGAAGACUAGGUAAAGAUUCUGCAUUAGAUUCUGGAGAUCUUCCUUCUAAAGUGAUUAGAUUCAAACUUAAACAUACUGAAUUAUAUGUAAAUGCAAGUAGAAAAAUUUAAUUAUACUAGACAAUGUUGCUUCUGCAAUUAUGAGUCUUUAUGAAUGGUUAUCUCUCUCAUUUGUUUUCUUCUACUUGGUUAUAAUGGGAGAGUCUUCUUUUUCUCUUUAGAUGCUACUUUGUUACUCCAAGAAAGUGAAGAUUGUGUUUGUCAUAGUUAAUGACUCAUAUACUGCUGUUCGCCUUGCUCCUGAUAGAUGCUAUUGUUAAGGUGUCACCAAAGCUUGCGGUCAUACUUGUGGAAGUAAGGUAGUUUCUGGAGAGGAAGUGGUACAUGCAUAAAAGCAACUAUUGGGGGGAAGAGAUGAAGGCCUUUGCAACAUCCUCAUUUACUUCCAAAAAUGGUAAAAUUGUUUGCACAGAGAAACUGGUGGCAAUAGCAAGACAAAGGACCUGUUUGUGUUCGGAAUCAUAUUGCAUGUGCUCAUCAUUUUAUCUUGAAGAACAAACAGCUAUUUGUUCAGCAAAAUAAGAUUCUUAGUGGCCUCAAAAUUCCCUCUGUUAUACUUCAGAUCAUCAUGAAGGCUGGCAUGCUUGAAGGUGGGGAAAGAACUCCAAUGCUGAAUCCUGUUGAACUUGAGGAGAUUGGUUCCAUGCUUGUGAGCUAUCCAUUAUAUUUGAUUGGGAUAUCAAUCUCAACACUGGAGGUUGGUGUGGAGCAAGUAAUACCAUACCAGUGACAAAAACUCUGGAAGCCAUCUCUAAGACUACAACAGCAGCCUUUUGAAGCUGAAGAUUGCUGCUCAAGGUCGGUUUGCAGCCUCUGCCGGUCUCACUUUGGUAAGCUCAGGUUGCUGCACAAGAUGCAAUAAACAAAUGGUGGCUGUGGUCAAAAGAAAGGAAAAAGAGGGGCUUUGCAUCCAAAGAAGAAACACUUUCAGUUACGUUCCACUUGGUCAGUAAAGCAAGGCAGGCAUUGAUUUCCAUAAAGGACACGAGAGAGAGAGAGAGAGAGAGAGAGAGAGAGAGAGAGAGGCCGAGGAAUGGAAUUCUGGGCUAGAUGCAGUGAAAGAGGCCAAGCUAAAGCAGUAAACCUAAUUGUGUGGCUGCUGCUUAUAGAAGAAUUGUGUAUUCAAAUCCCAGAGGACCAAGCUAUAGACGAAGACAAAGAUCAGUCAAGGGCUGCUGCUGAACCUGGCUGAUGCAAUCCACUUCAGCCUUCCAAGUAUUAUAAGGCUUCUUAGUCAUAGUAUAACACAGACAAUUUGGUGAGAUGUUACAAAAAUCUCCAAUCAGAACUCUGUCACAAAAAAAAAAAAAACACCAAAAAGAAAGAAAAGGAGGCAACAUCAGCAACUUGUUAAAAAGAAGGGAGAAUGAACUUUCUCAACCACUAUUAUGCUGCACUAAUGGGUGAAGAUCUGACAGCAGGUUUAGCUGUAUUGAGUAGUUGCAUCAAAAUCUAGUGGCAUCAUCCUCAGUUGGAACCUCUACUUUGUUCCUGACAAACUCGAGCAAGUUCCAUUCUUUUUUAGUGUUUCUGAAACGUCCAUGGAAGAACAAGAUCUCACAAAACUUGCCUGGAAGCUGACACGAGGUAUGAGUACAUUGGAAGCCAGGCUAACCUUCUCUGGCCUCGCAAUCUUCCAAGCUCCAAAAACUAUAUCGAGCCAGUACUACAAUAAAGCUUCUUUCACCAACCUUUGCAAGACACAGCUAAGGCCAUGGCCAAUAAUUGCGCAUCAGAUUGUAUCAGAUAGCAGAGGUGAGAUAUAAUACAGUUUUCUGUUCCCCACUGCUCUCA